rnacentral:misc_RNA from 1 species
CCAUCAUUGCCAAAGCAAAGAAAACUGUCGACAGGAAUGAUUUGAGUGCAAAGAGAGCAAAAGCCGCUCCGACUACUGUCACACAAAUCCUGGCUAUUGGUCUUGGGAUGGCAUCAGGUACCAUGUUGGUUCCAGCUUCAACUCCAUCCUUUCCAACUCUCCAUGCAGUUUGAAGAACUUUUAAGAAAUUGGAUUGAGCUGCAAAAAUUAAAGG